rnacentral:misc_RNA from 1 species
GAUGAAGAACGCAGCGAAAUGCGAUAAGUAGUGUGAAUUGCAGAAUUCAGUGAAUCAUCGAAUCUUUGAACGCACAUUGCGCCCCAUGGUAUUCCGAGGGGCAUGCCUGUUCGAGCGUCAUUAUAACCCCUCAAGCUCAGCUUGGUGUUGGGGCCUGCUGCACUGGCAGCCCUUAAAAUCAGUGGCGGCGCCAUCUGGCUCUAAGCGUAGUAAUUCUUCUCGCUAUGGAGUCCUGGUGGAUGCUUGCCAUCAACCCCCAAUUUUUCUAUGGUUGACCUCGGAUCAGGUAGGGAUACCCGCUGAACUUAAGCAUAUCAAUAAGCGGAGGA